GCUUCGAUUCUUCCAAGCCUCUCUCACUUAUCAUCUUCUUCGCUUGAUUUGUUACUGGAUCAUUUCCUAAUGGAUCACUAUGAGAAUGCGUAGAGAAUGUAGUUUUUAUAAUAGCCUAUUCAUGUAUGAAAAAAAUGAUGUUAUCUUGCUUGUUUCAUAGUUCUAUGCUAAUUUGUUCUUUGGCUUUAGCAUACCCCUUUUGAGAAGUCGUCAUUGUGUGUGAUAUUUGUUACAUGGCUUGAUUUUGUUGCUUGUUGCCUAAUUGAAUGUAGAAAAGCUAAUAAGAUUAAGGAAACAUAGCAUCUUUUUCAUAUAUUUAUGCUCUGUAAUUGCUAGUGGUGUGAGACAUCUCUAUAUUUUUAUGUAAUUCUAUGUGUGGUGAAAGUCAUGUGAGAAGUCAAUGUUUGGUGAGAAAGUGUGCUCUAAAAUCUCACACAUAUAUGUAUAUAUAGAUGUGGUGUUUUUCUUUUCAUGUAACGUUUAGGUGUGUGCCUUUCAAUUGAUCAUUUAAGCAUGGACGAGAGAAAGAUACUCAUAUGCCUAAUGUUGAAGAGGUAUAUGGAUCGGCUAAACAUUUUAGUCACCCUCCUCCACAUUGCUUAUGCUGCUGUAGUUCAAUAUCACAAAAAAUAUAGCUUGAGGUCUAGAUAUUUUAAUAGGGACUACCAGAGAUCCCAAGCUUUAGAACGAUUGGUAUAUUCCAAUGAUGUCACAUGUUUUAAUCUACCUAGAAUGGAUAGGUUUACAUUCAACAUAUUAUGUGUAAUGUUGCAUACAAUAGGAAGGUUGAGUGACACAAGAAACGUGAAAAUCGAUGAGCAAGUAGCGACAUUCCUAAAUAUACUUGCUCAUCAUGAGAAAAAUCGUUCUAUAAAGGAGAAAAUUUUUCGGUCUGGAGAAACGAUCAGUAGGCAUUUCAAGCUAGUACUAAAUGCGGUGCUUCAACUACAAGAAAAAUUGUUCAAAAAGCCUCAACCUGUACCUGAAAAUUCUAAAGAUUGAAGGUGGAAAUGGUUUAAGAAUUGUUUAGGGGCAUUAGAUGAGACAUAUGAAAGAGUCAAUGUUCCUGCAGCUUACAAACCUAGAUAUCAGACUAGAAAAGGCGAAAUUACAACAAAUAUCUUAGUAGCUUGUUCACCAGACAUGGAAAUUAUCUGUGUACUUAUUGGUUGGGAAGGUUCAGCUGCUGAUGGAUGAAUAUUUUGAGAUGCCGUGAGUAGAAGAAAUGGCUUAAAAGUUUCACAAGGUGAAUUACGUGAAAAUUCAAUCAAGUAUAUCAUAGUAUUCUAUACUUUUUUCCCUAGUUUUUAUGGUGGCUGAAUAUGUUUUUUCCUCAUGUUUUAAGGAUAUUACUACCUUGUAGAUGCUGGAUACACAAAUGGAAAUGACUUUCUAGGUCCAUUUACGGGUCAAAGAUAUUGUAUCUGUUUGGCAGUUUGUUUGCACUGCGUUCAGGUGCAUCGCACCUCACAACACUACAGUUUUUGUGACACGCCGAACGCUUUUUGCCAGCAGAACUCACCUCACAGCACCACAACUUUUUACCUCACAAUACCUCACCUCACCUCACAGCACUCCCAAACAGCUUAAUAUA